rnacentral:rRNA from 1 species
UACGUAGGAGGCAAGCGUUGUCCGGAAUUACUGGGCGUAAAGCGCGUGUAGGUGGUGGGACAAGUCUGCUGUGAAAGCGCCUGGCUUAACCGGGCGAGGUCGGCGGAAACUGUCCGACUCGAGGACGGUAGAGGGGGGUGGAAUUCCCGGUGUAGUGGUGAAAUGCGUAGAGAUCGGAAGGAACACCUGUGGCGAAGGCGGCCCCCUGGGCCGGCCCUGACACUGAGACGCGAAGGCGUGGGGAGCGAACGGG